UACAGAGGUCCCAAGCGUUGUUCGGAUUCACUGGGCGUAAAGGGUGCGUAGGCGGUCGGGUAAGUCUGAUGUGAAAUCUCACAGCUUAACUGUGAAACUGCAUUGGAUACUAUCCGGCUCGAGGAAUGGAGGGGAGACUGGAAUACUUGGUGUAGCAGUGAAGUGCGUAGAUAUCAAGUGGAACACCAGUGGCGAAGGCGAGUCUCUGGACAUUUCCUGACGCUGAGGCACGAAAGCCAGGGGAGCAAACGGG
rnacentral:rRNA from 1 species